rnacentral:rRNA from 1 species
ACUCCUACGGGAGGCAGCAGUAGGGAAUCUUCCACAAUGGGUGAAAACCUGAUGGAGCAAUGCCGCGUGAAUGAAGAAGGUCUUCGGAUCGUAAAGUUCUGUUAUUAGUGAAGAACAAGUCAAGGAGUAACUGUCUUGACUUUGACGGUACCUAACCAGAAAGUCACGGCUAACUACGUGCCAGCAGCCGCGGUAAU